rnacentral:ribozyme from 1 species
AGUGCGCGAUAGACUCGCCUCUACGUGGUGCACCCUGGGCAACGUAUACUCAUACGGCAAAGAAGUCUGU